rnacentral:rRNA from 1 species
GGUUAAGCGACUAAGCGUACACGGUGGAUGCCCUGGCAGUCAGAGGCGAUGAAGGACGUGCUAAUCUGCGAAAAGCGUCGGUAAGGUGAUAUGAACCGUUAUAGCCGGCGAUGUCCGAAUGGGGAAACCCAGUGUGAUUCGUCACACUAUCGUUAACUGAAUACAUAGGUUAACGAGGCGAACCGGGGGAACUGAAACAUCUAAGUACCCCGAGGAAAAGAAAUCAACCGAGAUUCCCCCAGUAGCGGCGAGCGAACGGGGAGCAGCCCAGAGUCUGAAUCAGCUUGUGUGUUAGUGGAACGGUCUGGAAAGUCCGACGGUACAGGGUGAUAGUCCCGUACACCAAAAUGCACAGGCUGUGAACUCGAAGAGUAGGGCGGGACACGUGGUAUCCUGUCUGAAUAUGGGGGGACCAUCCUCCAAGGCUAAAUACUCCUGACUGACCGAUAGUGAACCAGUACCGUGAGGGAAAGGCGAAAAGAACCCCGGCGAGGGGAGUGAAAAAGAACCUGAAACCGUGUACGUACAAGCAGUGGGAGCACCUUCGGGUGUGACUGCGUACCUUUUGUAUAAUGGGUCAGCGACUUAUAUUCUGUAGCAAGGUUAACCGUAUAGGGGAGCCGCAGGGAAACCGAGUCUUAACUGGGCGUUAAGUUGCAGGGUAUAGACCCGAAACCCGGUGAUCUAGCCAUGGGCAGGUUGAAGGUUGGGUAACACUAACUGGAGGACCGAACCGACUAAUGUUGAAAAAUUAGCGGAUGACUUGUGGCUGGGGGUGAAAGGCCAAUCAAACCGGGAGAUAGCUGGUUCUCCCCGAAAGCUAUUUAGGUAGCGCCUCGUGAACUCAUCUUCGGGGGUAGAGCACUGUUUCGGCUAGGGGGUCAUCCCGACUUACCAACCCGAUGCAAACUACGAAUACCGAAGAAUGUUAUCACGGGAGACACACGGCGGGUGCUAACGUCCGUCGUGAAGAGGGAAACAACCCAGACCGCCAGCUAAGGUCCCAAAGUCAUGGUUAAGUGGGAAACGAUGUGGGAAGGCACAGACAGCCAGGAUGUUGGCUUAGAAGCAGCCAUCAUUUAAAGAAAGCGUAAUAGCUCACUGGUCGAGUCGGCCUGCGCGGAAGAUGUAACGGGGCUAAACCAUGCACCGAAGCUGCGGCAGCGACACUAUGUGUUGUUGGGUAGGGGAGCGUUCUGUAAGCCUGCGAAGGUGUGCUGUGAGGCAUGCUGGAGGUAUCAGAAGUGCGAAUGCUGACAUAAGUAACGAUAAAGCGGGUGAAAAGCCCGCUCGCCGGAAGACCAAGGGUUCCUGUCCAACGUUAAUCGGGGCAGGGUGAGUCGACCCCUAAGGCGAGGCCGAAAGGCGUAGUCGAUGGGAAACAGGUUAAUAUUCCUGUACUUGGUGUUACUGCGAAGGGGGGACGGAGAAGGCUAUGUUAGCCGGGCGACGGUUGUCCCGGUUUAAGCAUGUAGGCUGAUUGUCCAGGCAAAUCCGGAUAAUCAAGGCUGAGGUGUGAUGACGAGGCACUACGGUGCUGAAGUAACAAAUGCCCUGCUUCCAGGAAAAGCCUCUAAGCAUCAGGUAACAUCAAAUCGUACCCCAAACCGACACAGGUGGUCAGGUAGAGAAUACCAAGGCGCUUGAGAGAACUCGGGUGAAGGAACUAGGCAAAAUGGUGCCGUAACUUCGGGAGAAGGCACGCUGGUGUGUAGGUGAAGCCCCUGCGGGUGGAGCUGAGACCAGUCGAAGAUACCAGCUGGCUGCAACUGUUUAUUAAAAACACAGCACUGUGCAAACACGAAAGUGGACGUAUACGGUGUGACGCCUGCCCGGUGCCGGAAGGUUAAUUGAUGGGGUUAUCCGUAAGGAGAAGCUCUUGAUCGAAGCCCCGGUAAACGGCGGCCGUAACUAUAACGGUCCUAAGGUAGCGAAAUUCCUUGUCGGGUAAGUUCCGACCUGCACGAAUGGCGUAAUGAUGGCCAGGCUGUCUCCACCCGAGACUCAGUGAAAUUGAACUCGCUGUGAAGAUGCAGUGUACCCGCGGCAAGACGGAAAGACCCCGUGAACCUUUACUAUAGCUUGACACUGAACAUUGAGCCUUGAUGUGUAGGAUAGGUGGGAGGCUUUGAAGCGUGGACGCCAGUCUGCGUGGAGCCAACCUUGAAAUACCACCCUUUAAUGUUUGAUGUUCUAACGUUGGCCCCUUACCGGGGUUGCGGACAGUGUCUGGUGGGUAGUUUGACUGGGGCGGUCUCCUCCCAAAGCGUAACGGAGGAGCACGAAGGUUAGCUAAUCCUGGUCGGACAUCAGGAGGUUAGUGCAAUGGCAUAAGCUAGCUUGACUGCGAGCGUGACGGCGCGAGCAGGUGCGAAAGCAGGUCAUAGUGAUCCGGUGGUUCUGAAUGGAAGGGCCAUCGCUCAACGGAUAAAAGGUACUCCGGGGAUAACAGGCUGAUACCGCCCAAGAGUUCAUAUCGACGGCGGUGUUUGGCACCUCGAUGUCGGCUCAUCACAUCCUGGGGCUGAAGUAGGUCCCAAGGGUAUGGCUGUUCGCCAUUUAAAGUGGUACGCGAGCUGGGUUUAGAACGUCGUGAGACAGUUCGGUCCCUAUCUGCCGUGGGCGCUGGAGAAUUGAGGGGGGCUGCUCCUAGUACGAGAGGACCGGAGUGGACGCAUCACUGGUGUUCGGGUUGUCAUGCCAAUGGCACUGCCCGGUAGCUAAAUGCGGAAGAGAUAAGUGCUGAAAGCAUCUAAGCACGAAACUUGCCCCGAGAUGAGUUCUCCCUGAGACUUUAAGUCUCCUGAAGGAACGUUGAAGACGACGACGUUGAUAGGCCGGGUGUGUAAGCGCAGCGAUGCGUUGAGCUAACCGGUACUAAUGAACCGUGAGGCUUAACCUU